GCCCCGGUAGCUCAAUGGAUAGAGCGAUUCCCUCCUAAGGAAUAGGUUGUAGGUUCGAUUCUUACCCGGGGCACCA
rnacentral:tRNA from 1 species